UCCCUGCAGAUUACAGAUUUGUUCUCCUCACACAGGGGUCAACAAAGUUUCUCUACAGAGAUAUCUACAAUCAGAAAUUUCAAGGGUCGUGGAUAAAACAUCUUAAAAAAGUAGGAUUUCAUGAACACCCGGAAUAUUUUGCAGAUCAAUUGCAGAACCAUCUCAUAAGAAUAGCAUACAACAACGUUUACCCUGCAUUCAGAUGUAUAGAUGGAAAGGUGGAUAAAUCUUCAUACGAAGGAUACUACCUUUA